rnacentral:rRNA from 1 species
AGAAUAUAGAAAUAACCAUAGAGACCAAAUAUCAUUCACGCCUACCAAUAGCUGGGUGCUACCCCAAAGACAUAAAAGUGUCGCUCUCCUGAAAGGAGAGAAUAGUUCUCUUGGGAUCAGCUAAGAAAACAAAAUGUAAUGAAUAAACAAAACUUAAAAGAUAAAAUAAGCUUAAAAACAGCUAAAGUAAAAAAACCAGUAAAAAGGUAAACAAUAAAAUGUAAGAAUAAUUAUAGCAAACUCAUACAAAAAUAGGGAGCACUUGAGCAAAACACCAACACUCAAACAAAAAUGAAUAGCAUAAGUAUAAAAUUUGACAAGCAAUAAAACUCAAAAGAAAAAUUUAAUAAAGGAACUCGGCAAAAGAGUAGAGCAAAGACUGUUUAACAAAAACAUAGCUUCUAGAAAUAAUUAGAAGUAAAAUCCUGCCCGGUGAAAGCAAUUUUAAACGGCCACAAUCGUGCUAAGGUAGCGUAAUCAGUUGUCCUUUUACUGAGGACUAGUAUGAAAGGAAAAACGAGGCUCAACUGUCUCUAUUAAAAAAAUAAAAAUUAGUUUUUAGAUGAAAAAAUCUAAAUGAAAUUAAAGGACGAAAAGACCCUAUAGAGUUUAAAUAUAAUUAUACUAUUCACAAAUUAAACAAAACGAAUAGGAUAAGUAUUUUAAUUGGGGCAACAUAGGAACAGAAAUUUCCCUUAUAGUAAACAUUUAACAUCAUAAAAUAAAAAUCCUCAAGAGAUAAGAAAACUACUAGGGAUAACAGCGUAUUUUCUAAAGAGACCUAUCGAAAGAAAAGUUUGCGA